CUAACAUGAGCUGUUACUUUCACUCACAUGGUAUUAACACUCUGACAUACUCACACAUCUCAGCUCCAGUUCCUGUUUUCCCUUUAAAUCUCAGUCUCUAUCUGUCUGUGUUGAGUUGCAUCAGGAGAGGAGCCUCCCGAGUAUCAUUAAUCCUGUCUCACUCAAUGCUGUUCACAGUGUCAAAUACUUCAGUAGCUACUACAGUAACUGAAUGGGCUUCUGAUCCAGUUUCUCUUUGUGUUGGACUCCUACAUCCAGAUCCUCCUCACAUCAGGAGAAGACACAGUAUGGAGAGCUAUGAACAAAACAUCAUAAUUCUACAAGGCAUCGUGGUGUCUGCAGUGGGAGGAGAGACUCCUGUAGAUGUGGGAGGAGAGAGUCCUGGUGGUUCCAGUGUAGCCGUCUGAAGUAGAGAAGAGGAGGAGGCUGGUGUGGUGGAAAAUAUGUGAACAGAAAAACUCAUUAACCAAUGUAUAAUAACUAGGGCUGGGCACGUUAACGCGUUAUUAUUGCGUUAACGCAUCAAUUAAUUAACGCCGUCAAUUAUUUUAUCGCGCGUAAACGCAGGUUUUAUUAUUUAUUUUAUUAUUGUAAAAGUCUGUUGCUCACAGGCUUUUAUUUUGUAAAAGUCUGCUGCUGACUGCUGCGGAACCGGAAAAGAAAAGAAUGGGCGGAUAAACAAACAUGGAGAAGGGCAUUGCUGCCAUAGACAUAUAUAUAUAUAUAUAUGAUUAUGAUUGCUGCGACGUGCCAACUCGCCGCCAUCUUGGGAAAGUAAAGGCUGGACUGUAAACAAACGCAAGUGAACGGUGGAGCUGCGGUGGAGCUGGAUAAAAAGCACUAUAGCGUUUACAUUUCUCAACCGAUCUAAUUGAGUCGUUUGUAUAUUCAAGCGUUUAUGAUCUACGUGGAGUACCAAACAAAGUUUCACAUAUAUACAUACAUGUGAUAAUUGCAAAUCAUUCAACGAAACAGACAGUGGAGGGAGGCUUCGGCAGACUACGUACAGCAGAGUAACUGCCAGCAGUGAACUUUUUGGUGCUUCACCACACUCUAACAUUAAUGCCUUGUCAGUGGCAAUAGGCGUUAGUUUGGUGUUUGUUUUGAUAACAUUGUUUAAGUUGAGAAUUACACAAAGUAUUUAUUUUAUUGAACUGCUCCUAUAUAAAAAUGCUGAUGUUAUGGCACUUUAGUUCAUAUGGCAGUUCAUUUAAAAUAACAGUGUCAAGUUCUAGGAAUUCACAAACUGCACUGAAAGUGUUUUCUGGUUUCUCACUCAGGGACAUUUGGUACUGAACAUAGACUGGUUAUGCUGCUCCCUGAUGAAAGUAAAAUGUUUCUGCUAUUACCUCAGAAUUUGCCUGUUUUAAUGAUAUGAUUGUGGCUCAGGAUUUUUUUGCCAGUGUUUUUCUUUUUCAUAACAAACAGGAUAACAUUAAUGCCCUGGCAGUGGCAAUGAGCUUUAAUUUUGUAUUUGCUUUGAUAACAUUGUUUAAGUUGAGAUUUAAACUGAAUAUUUUAUUUAACUGCUACUGUAUUAAAAUGCUGAUGUUAAAAGUGUUUCCACAACAAUUGUUAUGGCACUUGCCACUCAUAUGGCAGAACAUUUAAAAUAAAAGUGCGCUAUACACUACUUUUGAAUGAAUU
rnacentral:lncRNA from 1 species